rnacentral:rRNA from 1 species
CCCCGUGACUACAUCGCCCUGAAUGUCUCCAAUCUUGUCAGCCCUUGGAAGGUAAUGAGGGUGGAGCCUUGUUAGUACUCGGAUGGAAGACUGCCUGAGAAUACCAAGUGUUGUAAGGU